rnacentral:rRNA from 1 species
AACGAACGCUGGCGGCGUGGAUAAGACAUGCAAGUCGAACGCUCAUUCCGGGGUAGCAAUAUCACGGAGUGGGAGUGGCGCAAGGGUGCGUAACACGUGGGUAAUUUGCCGCAAAGCCGGGAACAACUCGUUGAAAGACGAGCUAAUACCCGAUGUGCUCCGAAAGGAGGAAAGCAGGGGACCGAAAGGCCUUGCACUUUGCGAUAAGCCCGCGGCCUAUCAGCUAGUUGGCGGGGUAAAAGCCCACCAAGGCUAAGACGGGUAGCUGGUCUGAGAGGACGACCAGCCACACUGGAACUGAGAAACGGUCCAGACACCUACGGGUGGCAGCAGUCGAGAAUUUUUCACAAUGGGCGAAAGCCUGAUGGAGCGACGCCGCGUGGGGGAUGAAGGGCUUCGGCUCGUAAACCCCUGUCAUUUGCGAACAAGGGCGCCAACCUAACACGUUGUCGCUUGAUAGUAGCAGAAGAGGAAGGGACGGCUAACUCUGUGCCAGCAGCCGCCGUAAAAC